AUUGAACGCUGGCGGCAGGCCUAACACAUGCAAGUCGAGCGGAUGAAGGGAGCUUGCUCCUGGAUUCAGCGGCGGACGGGUGAGUAAUGCCUAGGAAUCUGCCUGGUAGUGGGGGAUAACGUCCGGAAACGGGCGCUAAUACCGCAUACGUCCUGAGGGAGAAAGUGGGGGAUCUUCGGACCUCACGCUAUCAGAUGAGCCUAGGUCGGAUUAGCUAGUUGGUGGGGUAAAGGCCUACCAAGGCGACGAUCCGUAACUGGUCUGAGAGGAUGAUCAGUCACACUGGAACUGAGACACGGUCCAGACUCCUACGGGAGGCAGCGGUGGGGAAUAUUGGACAAUGGGCGAAAGCCUGAUCCAGCCAUGCCGCGUGUGUGAAGAAGGUCUUCGGAUUGUAAAGCACUUUAAGUUGGGAGGAAGGGCAGUAAGUUAAUACCCUGCUGUUUUGACGUUACCAACAGAAUAAGCACCGGCUAACUUCGUG
rnacentral:rRNA from 1 species